AACGAACGCUGGCGGCAGGCUUAAUACAUGCAAGUCGAACGCUGUAGCAAUACAGAGUGGCAGACGGGUGAGUAACGCGUGGGAAUCUACCCAAUACUACGGAAUAGCUCCGGGAAACUGGAAUUAAUACCGUAUGUGCCCUACGGGGGAAAGAUUUAUCGGUAUUGGAUGAGCCCGCGUUGGAUUAGCUAGUUGGUGGGGUAAUGGCCUACCAAGGCGACGAUCCAUAGCUGGUCUGAGAGGAUGAUCAGCCACACUGGGACUGAGACACGGCCCAGACUCCUACGGGAGGCAGCAGUAGGGAAUAUUGGACAAUGGGCGAAAGCCUGAUCCAGCCAUGCCGCGUGAGUGAUGAAGGCCUUAGGGUUGUAAAGCUCUUUCAGUGGGGAAGAUGAUGACGGUACCCACAGAAGAAGCCCCGGCUAACUUCGUGCCAGCAGCCGCCGUAAGAC
rnacentral:rRNA from 1 species